UAUAUACCCAUCUGAAAAAGGCUUUCUGGACUGAAGUUCCAAUAUCUCCUUGUUGAUACGCUUCAUGCUUGAGCACUUGUUGAUGUAGAUACUUGGCACAAAAUUUAGCAACAACUUUACCUCCAUGACCAUCAUAGACACCAAAAAAGGAAGUGGAAGCAUCCAAGUCAGUAAUUGCUGCAUGAGCAUCUUCCAUAGCUGCUCUCCAUCCUUGCAUUGAUGAUAAACCAUAUCUAACCCUAACAUUCUCACCAUCUUCUGAAAAUUUCUCCGUUUUCGGAGAACUCAGGUAUAUACCCAUCUCCGAUAGAAGUGGAUUUCACCGGAGAAGGAGAUCGGAAGGAGGAGGUCCGCGGCCGACGGAAACUGGCGGUCAACUUUGCCGACGUGAAGAAACUCCGGCGGGAAAAAAUUGGGAAAUAAAAUUCCG
rnacentral:misc_RNA from 1 species